rnacentral:rRNA from 1 species
UGGGGAAUCUUGGACAAUGGGGGCAACCCUGAUCCAGCCAUGCCGCGUGAGUGAUGAAGGCCUUAGGGUCGUAAAGCUCUUUCGCCUGUGAAGAUAAUGACGGUAGCAGGUAAAGAAACCCCGGCUAACUCCGUGCCAGCAGCCGCGGUAAUACGGAGGGGGUUAGCGUUGUUCGGAAUUACUGGGCGUAAAGCGCACGUAGGCGGACCAGAAAGUUGGGGGUGAAAUCCCGGGGGCUCAACCCCGGAACUGCCUCCAAAACUAUUGGUCUAGAGUUCGAGAGAGGUGAGUGGAAUUCCAAGUGUAGAGGUGAAAUUCGUAGAUAUUUGGAGGAACACCAGUGGCGAAGGCGGCUCACUGGCUCGAUACUGACGCUGAGGUGCGAAAGUGUGGGGAGCAAACAGGAUUAGAUACCCUGGG